AGAGUUUGAUCCUGGCUCAGGACGAACGCUGGCGGCGUGCCUAAUACAUGCAAGUCGAACGGUCUUUUCUAUGGAAGCUUGCUUCCACUGAGAAGAUAGUGGCGAACGGGUGAGUAACACGUGGGUAACCUGCCCAUAAGAGGGGGAUAACAUCCGGAAACGGGUGCUAAUACCGCAUAGUUUUCUUAAUCGCAUGAUUGAGAAAGGAAAGACGGCCUUUGUGCUGUCGCUUAUGGAUGGACCCGCGGCGUAUUAGUUAGUUGGUGAGGUAACGGCUCACCAAGACGAUGAUACGUAGCCGACCUGAGAGGGUGAUCGGCCACAUUGGGACUGAGACACGGCCCAAACUCCUACGGGAGGCAGCAGUAGGGAAUCUUCCGCAAUGGACGAAAGUCUGACGGAGCAACGCCGCGUGAGUGAAGAAGGUUUUCGGAUCGUAAAACUCUGUUGUCAGAGAAGAACAAGUUGGAGAGUAACUGCUCCAGCCUUGACGGUAUCUGACCAGAAAGCCACGGCUAACUACGUGCCAGCAGCCGCGGUAAUACGUAGGUGGCAAGCGUUGUCCGGAUUUAUUGGGCGUAAAGCGAGCGCAGGCGGUUCCUUAAGUCUGAUGUGAAAGCCCACGGCUCAACCGUGGAAGGUCAUUGGAAACUGGGGAACUUGAGUGCAGAAGAGGAGAGUGGAAUUCCAUGUGUAGCGGUGAAAUGCGUAGAUAUAUGGAGGAACACCAGUGGCGAAGGCGACUCUCUGGUCUGUAACUGACGCUGAGGCGCGAAAGCGUGGGGAGCAAACAGGAUUAGAUACCCUGGUAGUCCACGCCGUAAACGAUGGGUACUAGGUGUAGGAGGUAUCGACCCCUUCUGUGCCGCAGCAAACGCAUUAAGUACCCCGCCUGGGGAGUACGUUCGCAAGAAUGAAACUCAAAGGAAUUGACGGGGGCCCGCACAAGCAGUGGAGUAUGUGGUUUAAUUCGACGCAACGCGAAGAACCUUACCAGGGUUCGACAUCCUCUGACAGCUAUAGAGAUGUAGCAUUCUCUUCGGAGACAGAGAGACAGGUGGUGCAUGGUUGUCGUCAGCUCGUGUCGUGAGAUGUUGGGUAAAGUCCCGCAACGAGCGCAACCCCUAUUGCCAGUUACCAUCAUUAAGUUGGGGACUCUGGCGAGACCGCCGUUGACAAAACGGAGGAAGGUGGGGAUGACGUCAAAUCAUCAUGCCCCUUACGUCCUGGGCUACACACGUACUACAAUGGUAGGAACAAUGGGCAGCGAAACCGCGAGGUGGAGCAAAUCCCCAAAUCCUAUCUCAGUUCAGAUUGCAGGCUGCAACUCGCCUGCAUGAAGCAGGAAUUGCUAGUAAUGGCAGGUCAGCAUACUGCCGUGAAUACGUUCCCGGGCCUUGUACACACCGCCCGUCACACCAUGAGAGUCUGUAACACCCGAAGUCGGUAGUCUAACUACGGAGGACGCCGCCGAAGGUGGGACAGAUAAUUGGGGUGAAGUCGUAACAAGGUA
rnacentral:rRNA from 1 species